UACGUAGGGGGCGAGCGUUGUCCGGAUUUAUUGGGCGUAAAGAGCUCGUAGGCGGUUCGGUAAGUCGGAUGUGAAAUCUCCACGCUCAACGUGGAGGGGCCAUUCGAUACUGCCGUGACUCGAGUCCGGUAGGGGAGUGUGGAAUUCCCGGUGUAGCGGUGAAAUGCGCGGAGAUCGGGAGGAACACCCGUAGCGAAGGCGGCACUCUGGGCCGGAACUGACGCUGAGGAGCGAAAGCGUGGGGAGCGAACAGG
rnacentral:rRNA from 1 species